GCCCUUUGAGGAACCUUUGAAAUCAAAGUGAAGUUUAUUGGUACACAGAUUAGCAGAUGUUAAAUCAGGUGCAGUGAAAUGCCUGUGUUUCUACCUCCAACAGUGCAGUAAUACCUAACAAUACACACAUCAUCGAAACAAUUUAAACAAAUACAUUUAGAAAUAUCAGAACGAGCCAUGUCAGAGUCCAGAAUAUAAAUCUAUAUAAUGGUGUGUAUAGACAGUAUAGACAGUAAUUAUUAUAGGAUGGUGUGUAUAGACAGUAGUUAUAUAGGAUGGUGUGUAUAGACAGUAUAGACAGUAGUUAUAUAGGAUGGUGUGUAUAGACAGUAGUUAUAUAGGAUGGUGUGUAUAGACAGUAGUUAUAUAGGAUGGUGUGUAUAGACAGUAGUUAUAUAGGAUGGUGUGUAUAGACAGUAGUUAUAUAGGAUGGUGUGUAUAGACAGUAUAGACAGUAGUUAUAUGGGAUGGUGUGUAUAGACAGUAUAGACAGUAGAUGGUGUGUAUAGACAGUAGUUAUAUAGGAUGGUGUGUAUAGACAGUAUAGACAGUAGUUAUAUAGGAUGGUGUGUAUAGACAGUAUAGACAGUAGAUGGUGUAUAUAGACAGUAUAGACAGUAGUUAUAUAGGAUGGUGUAUAUAGACAGUAUAGACAGUAGUUAUAUAGGAUGAACCAUGACUAGAAUACAGUAUAUACAUACAGUGUAAAACAGUAUGAAAACAUGAAUAAAGUGACAAGUGUUCAACGGAUCUAUGUACACAGGGCAGCAGUUACUGGGUGGAGGCUAGUAACAGUAUCUAAGGUUCAGGGCAGCAGUUACUGGGUGGAGGCUAGUAACAGUAACUGAGGUUCAGGGCAGGGUACUGGGUGGAGGUUGGCUAGUAACAGUAACUAAGGUUCAGGGCAGGGUACUGGGUGGAGGCUAGUAACAGUAACUAAGGUUCAGGGCAGGGUACUGGGUGGAGGCUAGUAACAGUAUCUAAGGUUCAGGGCAGGGUACUGGGCAGGGUACUGGGUGGAGGCUAGUAACAGUAUCUAAGGUUCAGGGCAGGGUACUGGGCAGGGUACUGGGUGGAGGCUAGUAACAGUAACUAAGGUUCAGGGCAGCAGUUUCUGGGUGGAGGCUAGUAACAGUAACUAAGGUUCAGGGCAGGGUACUGGGUGGAGGCUAGUAACAGUAACUAAGGUUCAGGGCAGGGUACUGGGUGGAGGCUAGUAACAGUAACUAAGGUUCAGGUAGGGUACUGGGUGGAGGCUAGUAACAGUUUCUAAGGUUCAGGGCAGGGUACUGGGUGGAGGCUAGUAACAGUAACUAAGGUUCAGGGCAGGGUACUGGGUGGAGGCUGGCUAGUAACAGUAACUAAGGUUCAGGGCAGGGUACUGGGUGGAGGGUAGCUAGAAACAGUGACUAAGGUUCAGGGCAGGGUACUGGGUGGAGGCUGGCUAGUAACAGUAACUAAGGUUCAGGGCAGGGUACUGGGUGGAGGCUAGUAAGAGUCACUAAGGUUCAGGGCAGGGUACUGGGUGGAGGCUGGCUAGUAACAGUAACUAAGGUUCAUGGCAGGGUUCUGGGUGGAGGCUGGCUAGUGACAGUGGCUAAGGUUCAGGGCAGGAUACUGGGUGGAGGCUGGCUAGUGACAGUGGCUAAGGUUCAGGGCAGGGUACUGGGUGGAGGCUGGAAUGUGGUAACUAAGAUUCAGGGCAGGGUUCUGAGUGGAGGAUGGCUUGUGUUGACUAAGGUAUAGGGCAGGGUACUGGGUGGAGGCUGGAUAGUGGUAACUAAGGUUCAGGGCAGGGUACUGGGUGGAGGCCGGAUAGUGACAGUGACUAAUGUUCAGGGCAGGGUACUGGGUGGAGGCUGGAUAGUGACAGUGACUAAGGUUCAGGGCUGGGUACUGGGUGGAGGCUGGAUAGUGACAGUGACUAACGGUCAUGGCAGGGUACUGGGUGGUGGCCGGAUAGUGACAGUGACUAACGGUCAUGGCAGGGUACUGGGUGGAGGCUGGAUAGUGACAGUGACUAACGGUCAUGGCAGGGUACUGGGUGGAGGCUGGCCAGUGGUUAAUAAGGUUCAGGGCAGGGUACUGGGUGGAGGCCGGAUAGUGGUAACUAAGAUUCAGAGCAGGGUACUGGGUGGAGGCCGGAUAGUGGUGACUUUUUAACAAUCUGAUAUAUGAUCCUUAUAAAUCCUUAAUACACACCACUCUGAUAUUAGAAUCAGCUGAAGAUUUAUCAUUUCUGGUGUUGUAUAUUCCAUCUAAAGCUCUGUUGUUCUAUAUGUCUCUGUCUCUCUCUCCUUCUUCAUCCAGACACAGACUGCUGUGUUAUAACAGAUUACAGCCCUGUGGAAUAUCCCUAUCAUCAUGAUACAUUUUAUAUAUAAAAGUAUGUGGACACCCCUUCACAUUAGUGGAUUCGGCUAUUUUAACCACACCCGUUGCUGACAGGUGAAUAAAAUCGAGCAACACAGCCAUGAAAUCUCCACAGACAAACAUUGGCAGUAGAAUGGCCUUACUGAAGAGCUCAGUGACUUUCAAAGUGGCACCAUCAUAGGGUGCCACCUUUCCAACAAGUAAGUUUGUCAAAUUUCUGCCCUGCUAGAGCUUCCUGGUCAACUGUAAAUGCUGUUAUUGUGAAGUGAAAAAGUCUAGGAGCAACAACGGCUCAGGCGCGAAGUGGUAGGCCACACAAGCUCACAGAACGGGACCGCCGAGUGCUGAAGCGCAUCCUCAGUUGCAUCGCUCACUACCGAGUUUCAAACUGCCUCUGGAAGCAACAUCAACUGUUCGUCGGGAGGUUCAUGAAAUGGGUUUCCGUGGCUGAGCAGCCGCACACAAGCCUAAGAUCACCAUGCGCAAUGCCAAGCGUUCGCUGGAGUGGUGUAAAGCUCGCCGCCAUUGGACUCUGGAGCAGUGGAAACAAGUUCUCUGGAGUGAUGAAUCACGCUUCACCAUCUGGCAGUCCGACGGACGAAUCUGGGUUUGGCGGAUGCCAGGAGAACACUACCUGCCCCAAUGAAUAGUGCCAACUGUAAAGUUUGGUGGAGGAGGAAUAAUGGUCUGGGGCUGUUUUUCAUGGUUCGGGCCCCUUAGUUCCAGUGAAGGGAAAUCUUAACGCUACAGCAUUCAAUGACAUUCUAGACAAUUCUGUGCUACUAAAUUUGUGGCAACAGUU
rnacentral:lncRNA from 1 species